rnacentral:tmRNA from 1 species
GGGGCUAUUUGGUUUUGACAGCAGGUAGAAUGGUUGUGUAAGCACGCCGAGCAAUGAGGCAACGCUCGUAAAUCUCGCUUCGACACAUAACUGGCAACAACUAUGAGUAUGCUCUCGCUGCCUAAUCGAAGUAUAGUAGAUUAGCUUUCUUCGGGCGCAAGGCGCCUGAACGAGACAUCGCUCCAAGCCGAGUCUGUGGGCUGAAAGGAUAUAGCGGUGCGGGAAUUCACAGAAUAGAUAUCGCAGGCUGCGAUGCGGUAUCGAGAACUUAGCAGAUAAGCCGGUAGUUGGUGGCUUGGGUCUUGCUACCGGACGAAAACGAAGGCCAAGAUAAGCGUGUAGAAAGCGGAAUUGUUCCUUGUUUGGACGCGGGUUCGACUCCCGCUAGCUCCACA